CAAAUACUCCAUCCGUCAGGAAAUACUUGUCAUCAAAAUGGAUAAAAGGAAAUGUAUCUAGACGUAUUUUAGUUUUAGAUACAUCUCUUUUUAUCCAUUUUGAUGACAAGUAUUUUCGGACGGAGGGAGUAGAAA
rfam:Triticum aestivum genome assembly, contig: Triticum_aestivum_CS42_TGACv1_scaffold_396110_5AS